rnacentral:pre_miRNA from 1 species
AGGAGGAACAACCCCAGUGGCAGUGGUCAGCUCUGGAGCCCUGGAGUAGCUCCGGCAGUAACUAUGGAGCUCUCCAUCUGCAGGGGCCUGGAGGCUCCGGGGCAGG